GGAUGAAGAACGCAGUGAAAUGCGAUACUUGGUGUGAAUUGCAGAAUCCCGUGAACCAUCGAGUCUUUGAACGCAAGUUGCGCCCGAAGCCAUUAGGUCGAGGGCACGCCUGCCUGGGCGUCACACGUCGUUGCCCCCCCCAUCUACUCCUUCGGGAUUGCGGGGGGCGGAUGAUGGCCUCCCGUGCGCCUCGCCGCGCGGUUGGCAUAAAUGCCAAGUCCUCGGCGACGCACGCCACGACAAUCGGUGGUUGCGAAACCUCGGUUGCCCGUCGUGUGCGGUCGUCGCGCAUCGAGGGCUCGAAAAAAUUGCCGAGUUCCGGCUCGGCUUUCAACGCGACCCCAGGUCAGGCGGGGUUACCCGCUGAAUUUAAGCAUAUCAAUAAGCGGAGGA
rnacentral:misc_RNA from 1 species